rnacentral:rRNA from 1 species
AGCGAACGCUGGCGGCAGGCUUAACACAUGCAAGUCGAGCGGACCUUUCGGGGUCAGCGGCGGACGGGUGAGUAACGCGUGGGAACGUGCCUUCCGGUUCGGAAUAACCCUGGGAAACUAGGGCUAAUACCGGAUACGCCAUUCUGGGGAAAGGUUUACUGCCGGAAGAUCGGCCCGCGUCUGAUUAGCUAGUUGGUGGGGUAACGGCCUACCAAGGCGACGAUCAGUAGCUGGUCUGAGAGGAUGAUCAGCCACACUGGGACUGAGACACGGCCCAGACUCCUACAGGAGGCAGCAGUGGGUAAUAUUGGACAAUGGGCGCAAGCCUGAACCAGCCAUGCCGCGUGAGUGAUUAAGGCCUUAGGGUUGUAAAGCUCUUUUAUCCGGGACUGUAAUGACGGUACCGGAGGAAUAAGCCCCGGCUAACUUCGUG